UGGGGAAUAUUGCACAAUGGAGGGAACUCUGAUGCAGCAACGCCGCGUGCGGGAUGACGACCUUCGGGUUGUAAACCGCUUUCAGCCAUGACGAAGCUUUUGUGACGGUAGUGGUAGAAGAAGCACCGGCUAACUACGUGCCAGCAGCCGCGGUGAUACGUAGGGUGCGAGCGUUGUCCGGAAUUAUUGGGCGUAAAGAGCUUGUAGGCGGUUUGUCGCGUCGAUAGUGUAAACACGCAGCUUAACUGUGUGCCUGCUGUCGAUACGGGCUGACUAGAGGAGGGUAGGGGAGAAUGGAAUUCCCGGUGGAGCGGUGGAAUGCGCAGAUAUCGGGAGGAACACCAGUGGCGAAGGCGGUUCUCUGGACCUUUCCUGACGCUGAGAAGCGAAAGCGUGGGUAGCAAACAGG
rnacentral:rRNA from 1 species